rnacentral:misc_RNA from 1 species
AUUGAUGAUGGCUGUGAUACAGACAGUUGAAAAGUAAGAUCUCUGCAACUGUGUCGUCCAUACACACUUACAAUCAUCCACCCUUCUGACCAACGGCAGGAUUUGGAAACAUUCAUCACAAACUUCGGUUUGAACCUCAACCAGACUGAUUGUUGUUGGGUGUAGGAGUUAGCCGCCCUCUCACAAAGCAAUAAUCCAUUCAGGAGGAGGAUGAAUUUUCUCCCUUUGCUGUCACGGGUGUGCUGCGUCGGCGCGUUGACGUCAAAUGAUGUUUAGCAUAAAACCUCAAGCAGCCCGAUCGCACAGACAUUGCUGGCCUCCAGAAACCAGAUAUUGUUAGAGGCAGCAUACAAUGGCGCAGAUAUGAUUAAGACAUUAAGAUUCUGCAUUAGGAGGAAUCCCUCUGAAACCAAGAUCAGGAGAAAUGUCUUGCCAAGCACCAUGAAGGACAGCACACAGACUUUCCCUCCUUUUUUUUCAAGAGCUGACCAUGGCUAGGCUAGGACCUCAAAGUUGCAGCCAUGAAGGAUGUUUGAUGGAUUUGUUUAGCAUUUUCUUGAAACACUUGAAGCCUACAAAGUGCCUUCUCAUCAGAAGAGGAUUUAAUAAUUGUGUUCAAUAGUUGGAUAAAUGCUGUGCUGGUACCUCUUCAGCCAGACAGCUUUCAUGUGAAGACAACAAUAUGGACACAGGCAAGUAUUUCUCUCCGCGACUUCUGGAUUACCUUGUCAUAGCUGGCAGCCGGCAUCCAAAUAGCAACAACCAUGUCUCACAGACUCCAGAGCUGUUACGACGCUAUCCCUUGGAAGACCACAAAGACUUUGCCCUGCCUAAUGAUGUCAUCUUUUUCUGCCAACCAGAGGGGUGCAUCAGUGUUGGACCAAAGCGCAUGAGCCUCAGAGAAACCACUUCUUUUGUCUUCACGUUAACAGAAAAGGAUUCUGGCAUUGUUCGCUAUGGAGUAUGUGUCAACUUUUAUAGGCCUUUUGAAAAGCGCAUGCAUUCAUCAGAAUGUUGGCAGAAGGUGGAUCGUUCGUCCACAGGUAGCACUCACUCUGUAGAAACAUUAAGUUCAUCAGAAUGUGACCGUCCACGCUCACCAAGGGCUCGGCGAAAGUCAAGAGUCCGCAACAACACCUUGACCUCACUAUGCAUCAUCAGCCACCAUCCCUUUUUCUCCACAUUUCGAGAGUGUCUGUUUAUUCUUCGUCGCCUAAUUGAGGCCUGCCAUGAUCGUAGCUGUGUACGGAGGGUUGGAGGAUCCAAAGCUACUGCCAGGGACACAGUAUGGGGGGUGCUGACAGGUCAAACCAGUGAAAAUAUUUCUACACUGGUUAUGCAUGAAGUUCGUGAGAUUGAAACAUGGAUUCUUCGACUGCUCAGUGCACCAGUUCCAGUACCAGGCAAGACACGUGUAGAGGUGAAUGUGCUUCCCAAGGAGCUGCAGGCACCUUUGCUGUUUGCACUGCCAGACCACACUCGAUUUAGCCUUGUGGAUUUCCCUUUGCAUUUGCCACUUGAGCUGCUAGGCGUGGACACUUGCCUGAAGGUUCUCACUGCAAUUAUGUUGGAGCACAAGGUGAUUCUACAGUCUCGAGACUACAAUGCACUGACAAUGAGUGUCAUGGCGUUUGUGUCUAUGCUUUAUCCACUGGAGUAUAUGUUUCCAGUCAUACCCCUUCUGCCAACUUGCAUGGCCUCUGCAGAACAGCUACUACUGGCUCCCACCCCAUUUUUGAUUGGUGUGCCUGCCAGCUUUUUUCGCUAUAAGCGGGAUUUUCCACUGCCUGAUGAUAUUUGGAUUGUUGAUUUGGAUGCAAACAAAAUUACUUCACCACCUAACGCAGACCCACUGCCUCCACUUCCUGAACCAGAAUGCACUGGUCUCAAAACACACCUUAAACAGGCUCUGGCCAGCAUGAGUAUGACUCCACAGCCUAUCAAAAAUCUUGAUGCUAUUGCUCAGAAUCCAGAGAUGUGGCAGCGUCGUGAAAGUUUUUCAUCUCAGACUGGAUUUAACCCUCUCAUUUAUGGCAAUGAUGUGGAUUCUGUAGAUGUGGCAACACGUGUAGCUAUGGUACGCUUUUUCAACUCACCUAAUAUCUUGGGCAACUUCACUGAGCAUACUCGCACAUUACGGCUCUACCCACGGCCAGUAGUGGCCUUCCAACUGUACAGUUUUAUGAAGUCACGGCCACAGCGCACACAUUUCACUGCACGACUUGCUCGCACCCAGGCAGUGGAGUAUUUCGCAGAAUGGUCACUUUGUCCUAACAAUCUGGUGUAUCAGCGAGUUCAGACAGCAGUUUAUGACCCUUCUUUGAUUGGUGAUAAGCCCAAAUGGUAUGCCCAGCAUCUGCAACCUGUUGAGUUUCAUGUGUAUGACAACUCUUCAUCGCUGGCUGCAGCUAUCACAUCUGUCAGUGAAACAUUGAGUGACGAUAUACCAACAGAUGAAAGUGGAAGUGACAGUGAGGGAGCAGAGAGCACCAGUUCAAGCUAUUCUUCUUUGUCUGAUCUUAUUGCGGAAAUGACCAACAGUGAGAUUGAUGGGGAAACACCUUCCUUUGUGCCUGAGAAUCAGAUUCUGGCUGUGGAUGAAGCCAAGGUGUUCUGUCCCCCUGACAAACUGCAUGUUCCUGAAGCCCCAUCCACCAACAGCGACUCGGCCUUCUCUCUGCAGGAGGACAGCGACAUGAGUUCCUCCGAGUCAUCAAGUGCAGCAUCCAGCCCUGAACCCCAUGAUGUGCAGACCAAAGACUCAGAAGAACAUAAGAUUUUCAGAUAUGAUUCAGGAAACAUCACGGAAACAACAUAUUCUCUAAGCAGCAUGAGUCGUACAGAUCUGCCAGGAAGUCCACACAGUCCUAGAAGUCCUGCAGCUGCCCAUCAGGUAUCUCCUGCACAUCUUGGUUCUCAAGGGAGUGUAAGAGGUAAUGUGCCCAUUUCUCAUGGGGAACAAUUAGAAAAGACUCAGCUCUUACCUCCACCACAAGGACACAGAACUCCCUCCCCGCGUCCACAUCUUGGGAGUUUCUCUAGUGGUGGAUCCAGCUCAUCCACCAAAAAAGGCUUUAGGGGAGGGUCAGACACUGGGUCAGAAAGAGGAUCUGGUCAGUCUAUUAUCUCCACCAUCAGCAAUGAGCUUACAGACAUUGCCCAUUCUGCAACCAAUACUGUUACAGAACUUUUCAGCUCCAAUAAAAACCCACCUUCCAAUUCCCAGCCAGUGCCAAAACAAGUCAACAAACCUUUUACACCACUGGGAAACCGGAAAGCUCUAGUAGAAAAGUCUGGUCUUGUCAAGCAUGCAACAAAUAUCAAACAAAGGGAUCAGCCCAAACCUACUGCAGCAGAACCAAGAGGAUCCACAAACAGUGAGAAUCAGCAAUUUUUGAAAGAAGUUAUUAACGGGGUGCUAGAUGGACAGGGUGUCAGCUGGCUUAAAAUCAGUCGCAUCAAAAAGCUUAUGGAAGAUGAGAACUAUCGCAACUUUGUAGUCUCCCGGCUGAACCGUAACCUAGAUAAAAAGGUGCCUGAAGAUGCUCGCCAUAUUGAAGAUGUUUGUUUGUCACGGCCUGUAUUCAAAGGCAUGCUGGGUAUGUGCAAAGCCAUCAUCUCAGGUCUUGAACACACUAUUCAGAACCAUGGUCUUGGUGGCAUGGCAUCAGCUUACAUGGUACUUGAGAUUGCUCACACACACUAUUGGGCGCGUGACAUCAAUUCUACCAAAAGUGAUGCAUCAUCAUUACAUGGAAGCCAAGAGAGCCUGCACUCCAAAGAGGAACUUUCAAUGCGGCCUGAUCUUCGACGGCAUUCUGAUGACCAGGUUGCAUCAGCUUCUAGCCUCAUGGCACCAGGCUUGUGGUCUCCCAUCAGCGGCCACUCUCCCAGCCCCAUCUCCCAGUACUCUGUUUCCCCAGUUGACCAUCCCUCCCCAUGGCCUGAUUACCAGGCAGGUUCAUCAGUUAUUGUGAACGGUGAUGAGUUUGAAAACAUUGAGCUUGCUCGACAAUCAUCCCAGGACCAAACACGAAGUAGCUUGGGCCCACCAGCAGAAGUCUCACCACAUCAUGUCCACCACCACCCAUCUCAUCAUCCUCCACCUACAGAAUAUCAAUUUCAGGGUGACCCACUAGGAGUGAUGACAGAUCUAAACCGUAACAUCGGCAAGUCAACACAGGCAUCAGCUUGUGACAUUGUCAUAACAGAUGCUGAUGUUAACAAUACCAGUGGUGACAUGUUGCGAGAAAUGGUAAAAAACAAGGAGCUCUUGAGGUCAUCUCGUUUAGACAAAAAAUUCAACAGUGUAGACUCAGAGAUCUCAGAAGCCUCUACACUUGUUAGCACAUCUUCAGACAAAGAAGGCGAGAAGAGUCGUGGUCGUAUCUCUCACCAGGCCAUAAGAGGAGCCAUGUCUGAUAGUGAGAUGGAUGCAAUGUCUGGUGUUGGCCGGAGGCGAAGUCGAUCUUCCAGUUUGUGGAGCAAUAAGAGUAACUUUUCAACUGGCUACCGCUACCAUGAUAGUAAACUUGUUCAUACAAGCACAGCACCUAACACAGAUGUGGGCAAAACCUACCUGUUUGAAGGACUUAUUGCAAAGGACCGCAGUCGCAUGUGGGACCAAAUGCAGUUUUGGGAAGACAUGUUUCUGGAUGCUGUGGCUCAAGAGCGAGACAUCAUUGGGAUGGACCAAAGGCCCUCUGAGAUGAUGGAAAGGUACAAUUCCCUUGGUGAUACUGAAAAGAAGAGGCUGGAACAAGAUGAGGACCGCCUCUUGUCUGUCAUGCUGUACAAUCUUGUGGGGUUCAUGCUUAUGAUGCGUGUUCCAAAAGCGGAGGUCAAAAAGAAGGUGCGGCGGCUGUUGGGCAAGUCCCAUAUUGGUCUUCACCACAGUCAGGAUGUGAACAAUCUCCUGGAUGUCAUCACACAUCUGCAAGGAAAUGAUAUUGAUUUAAAGCCGAUGGGCAGCAGGCAAAUGCAGAAACAGUCUUUUACCGUCCACUGGGGGACGGACAAUACUGGAGAUAUGCUGUUUAUGGAGGUUUGUGAUGACUGCCUGUUGCUGCGGAAUGUGACUGGAAUGAUUCAUGAUAGGUGGUGGUUUGAGAAGCUGGUCAACAUGACCUACUGUCCGAAAACAAAAGUUUUAUGCCUGUGGCGCAAGAAUGGUGAAAAGGUGCAGCUUAACCAGUUCUACACCAAGAAGUGCCGGGAGCUGUACUUUUCUGUAAAAGAAGCCAUGGAGAAAGCAGCAUCCAGGACCACUGGUCGUAUCCCAGGGCCAGAGCUGGGAGGAGAAUUUCCUGUUCAGGACUUGAAGAGUGGUCAAGGGGGUCUUCUUCAAGUCUGCAUGGAGGGCAUAGGACUCUUGCUGGCCAACAGCAAGAUUCCAAAACAAAGCAAGUGAUUCAGCACAAAUUCAAAUCCAGUAUGGCUAACGAAACAGCAGUAAUGUUCCACAGGAUUAUUAGUGUGCAUUGGGCCAAACCUCAGGACACCAAGAUUAAACGCUGACCAGAUAUGCUAUGCAGUGCUCUGUCUUUUCUCGUACAUUGCCGCUGGUAUGGAGCAACGC